rnacentral:rRNA from 1 species
AGCGGCCGCGGUAAUUCCAGCUCCAAUAGCGUAUAUUAAAGUUGUUGCAGUUAAAAAGCUCGUAGUUGAAUUUCGGGAUCAGUACGCUGGUCGUGCCUUCGGUAUGCACUGGUUUCACUGAUUCCUCCCUUCUGAAGAACCGUAAUGCCAUUCAGUUGGUGUGGCGGGGAAUCAGGAUCGUUACUUUGAAAAAAUUAGAGUGUUUAAAGCAGGCUCGCGCUUGAAUACAUUAGCAUGGAAUAAUGAAAUAGGACGUUUGAUCCUAUUUUGUUGGUUUCUAGGAUUGACGUAAUGAUUAAUAGGGAUAGUUGGGGGCAUUAGUAUUCAAUUGUCAGAGGUGAAAUUCUUGGAUUUAUUGAAGACUAACUACUGCGAAAGCAUUUGCCAAGGAUGUUUUCAUUAAUCAAGAACGAAAGUUAGGGGAUCGAAGACGAUCAGAUACCGUCGUAGUCUUAACCAUAAACUAUGCCGACUAGGGA